rnacentral:lncRNA from 1 species
GCCAUGUGGUCAUAGAUUAAAAGCUGCUAUACAGUUUGGAACUGGAAACCGAGCUCCCAAUGUAAAGGAGAUAAGCCAUCGUGCUUACAAUGUGGUGUGCAGAGCUCACUGAUGGGCAGUUUUUCUUAACAAUGCAUCAGGACUUUCGUUAUUUGGAAAGGAAGCUUAAAUGCUGGAGUGCGAUGGCAUGAUCUCGGCUCACUGCAACCUCUGCCUCCCAGGUUCAAGCGUUUCUCCUGCCUCACCCUCCCAAGUAGCUGGGAUUGCAGGCAUGCACCACUGUGCCCAGGAAGCUGAGAGUGCUGAGGGCACAUCUGAAACCACUGGAGGUUGGCGACAUGGAGGUCAGAACUGAAGAAUUUGGAAGUGCUCAAAUUUUUAAAUAACCAGAUCGAGGAGCUGCCAACACAGAUCAGCAGGCUUCAAAAACUCAAACACCUGAACCUUGGCCACCCUGUGUGCACUCUAUCUAAGUGACAACGGUUUUGAAAUCCUGCCACCAGAUAUUGGGAAGCUCACAAAGUUGCAGAUAGUAACUCAGCAAUAGGGAUAAAGACCUGAUCUCACUGCUUAAGGAAAUUGGGGAGCUUACCCAGCUUAAAGAGCUCCACAUUCAGAGGAACCGCCUCACUGUUCUACGCCCAGAACUAGGCAAUGAUGGGACCUCUUCUCCUGCAUUUGUUACCCAGAUAAUUUUGCCUUUGGAGAAGAGAAGAAAAUCACAUUGGUCUGCUCGGAAUGCAACAAAACAAAGUGUUAUUGACACCAAAACCUUAUUUGCACCAAUCCAAACAGCCUAUGGGACAUAUGUCUGCAAUGCUGCACACACCUGGGGCUAGCCAGCUUAGUGCCCUACGAUAUGUGCCAAUAAUCGAUAGCAUUUUUUACUACAGUAAUUAUGAGAAGCAUAGUAUUUUCUAGCAUGCUUGUGAAGAGUGGAAACAAAUAUUAAUCCCCUUCAGAGAGUAAAGGACAUUAUGAAUUGAGAAUUUCCUCCCAAUUUAUUCUCCAGAAUGAACAGAAUUAACAGUGAGUGGAUGUACGUCCAAAAUUUCUUCUGUUAUAUCUCUUAAUCCUUUUCCUGCGGACAUCGAGAAACUAAAGAAAAAUAACUUUCUUUACUGAGGCAGGCAAGAAGGAAAUCCAGUAUUCUUUGUUUGAUCAAUUAAGUCUCUGUAAGUGUCUCAUUUAUCUUCUCUUUUGUUAUUGUCACUCUGUCAACUGGUUCCCAAUUAUUUUAUCCAGAGGUUUAAAACUUUUUUAAAUGUAAACAGUAGAGAAUAGAGGUUAAGUGCUGCACUCUUCAUCACUAGGCUUGGGUUCAAACCUCACUCUCCCACUCCCUUGUUCUGUGACCUUCAGAUACUGAUAUGGUUUGAAAGGAAAGGAAAGGAAAAAACAGAUCAAAAUGUUUCAAUAAUCAUGAACGUAUAUGUAUCUGAUAAUGUACCCUUUAUUUAUGCUCAAUGAGAUUUAACAUGUUCAUCUCAGAAAGGGAUAGAUCAAGCUGCAAAAAGUUUGCAUACAUAGAAGAUCUAAAUAGCAUGACUAACAAGUUUAAAAUAUUAAUGUAGAAUCAUAAAAAUAUAAUUUUUUCAAGCACACAUAUAAUAUUUGUAAAAAUUGACCAGGUACAAAUCACAUAGUAAUUCUCAAUAAAUUUUAGAAAAAGGAAUAGCAUUGUAUAAACUGUGUUUAUUUAUCACAAUGAGGUAGAAGUAGAAAUUAUUAACAAUUAUUAACAAAAGUAGAAAUUAUCAAAAAUGUUAGCUAAUAAAAAAUUAAAAGUCCAUAUGUCCUGAAACAAAAACACAUGCCACUAAAUACAUCUUAUCUGAUUAAGAAAUUAUAAUUUUGAAAUAUUAAAACUGAACAUCAAUAAAAAGUACUUUAUGUCAGAACUUUAGGGUAAAUAUGGUCAAAUGUAAUUUAUGGGUUUUUUUUUUUAACUUCCAUAGGUUUUUGGGGAACAGGCAGUGUUUGGCCAUAUGAAUAAGUUCUUUAGUGGUGAUUUCUGAGAUUUUGGUGCACCCAUCACCCAAGCAGUAUACACUGUACCCAAUUUGUAGUCUUUUAUCUCACAUCCCCUACCCUUUCCCUCGAGUCCCCAAAGUUCACUGUAUCAUUCUUUGCCUUUGCAUCCUCAUAUAUGCAUCCUCAUAUCAUUCUUUGCCUUUGCAUCCUCAUAUAUGCAUCCUCAUAUCAUUCUUUGCCUUUGCAUCCUCAUAGCUUAGCUCCCACUUAUGAGUGAGAACAUACAAUGUUUGGUUUUUCAUUCCUGAGUUACUUCACUUAGAAUAAUAGUCCCCAGUUCCAUUCAGGUUGCUGUGAAUGCCAUUAUUUCAUUCCUUUUCAUGGCUGAGUAGUAUUCCAUGGUGUAUAUGUAUGCCACAAUUUCUUUAUCCACUUGUUGACUGAUGGGCAUUUGGGCUGGUUCCAUAUUUUUGGAAUUGUGAACUGUGCUGCUAUAAACAUGCAUGUGCAUUUACCUUUUUCAUAUUAUGACUUCUUUUCCUUUGGGUAGAUACCCAGUAGUGGGAUUGCUGGAUCAAAUGGUAGUUCUACUUUUAGUUAAGGAAUCCCCACACUGUUUUCCAUAGUGGUUGUACUAGCUUAUGUUCCCACCAGCAGUGUAAUAUAGUAUAUUUUUUCUUUUUCUUUUCUUUUCUUUUUUUUUUUUUGAGAUGGAGUUUUGCUCUUGUCGCCCAGGCUGGAGUGCAACGGUGUGAUCUCAGCUCACUACAACCUCAGCCUCCUGGGUUCAAGCAAUUCUCCUGCCUCAGCGUCCCAAAUAGCUGGGUUUACAGGCUCCCACCACCUUGCCUGGCUAAUUUCUGUAUUUUUAGUAGAGAUGGUGUUUCACCACGUUGGCCAGGCUGGUCUCAAACUCCUAACCUCAGGCGAUCUGCCUGCCUCAGCCUCCCAAAGUGGUGGAAUUACAAGCAUGAGCCACUGUGCCCAGCCAAUAUGGUAUAUUUUUAAAAGGCUAGAAGAGAGGAUUUUGAAUGUUCACAACAAAAAGAAAGAAUAAAUGUUUGAGGGGAUAGAUAUGCUAAUUAUCCUGAUGUAAUCAUUACACAAUGUAUACACAUUGAAAUAUUCUGUAUCCCA